AGAGUUUGAUCCUGGCUCAGAUUGAACGCUGGCGGCAUGCCUUACACAUGCAAGUCGAACGGCAGCACGGACUUCGGUCUGGUGGCGAGUGGCGAACGGGUGAGUAAUAUAUCGGAACAUACCCUAGAGUGGGGGAUAACGUAGCGAAAGUUACGCUAAUACCGCAUACGAACUAAGGUUGAAAGUGGGGGAUCGCAAGACCUCAUGCUCAUGGAGUGGCCGAUAUCUGAUUAGCUAGUUGGUGAGGUAAAGGCUCACCAAGGCGACGAUCAGUAGCUGGUUUGAGAGAACGACCAGCCACACUGGAACUGAGACACGGUCCAGACUCCUACGGGAGGCAGCAGUGGGGAAUUUUGGACAAUGGGCGCAAGCCUGAUCCAGCAAUGCCGCGUGAGUGAAGAAGGCCUUCGGGUUGUAAAGCUCUUUUGUCAGGGAAGAAACGGUUGUGGCUAAUAUCCAUGGCUAAUGACGGUACCUGAAGAAUAAGCACCGGCUAACUACGUGCCAGCAGCCGCGGUAAUACGUAGGGUGCAAGCGUUAAUCGGAAUUACUGGGCGUAAAGCGUGCGCAGGCGGUUAUAUAAGUCAGAUGUGAAAUCCCCGGGCUCAACCUGGGAACUGCAUUUGAGACUGUAUGGCUAGAGUGUGUCAGAGGGGGGUAGAAUUCCACGUGUAGCAGUGAAAUGCGUAGAUAUGUGGAGGAAUACCGAUGGCGAAGGCAGCCCCCUGGGAUAACACUGACGCUCAUGCACGAAAGCGUGGGGAGCAAACAGGAUUAGAUACCCUGGUAGUCCACGCCCU
rnacentral:rRNA from 1 species